UAGUUGUUGAUUUUAUUAAAUUAUUAUUAAUCGGGUUUAAGUGAAUUAGAUGUGUUUUGAACCAAUCUAAAUUAAUUAAUUAAAGUCUAUUAGAAAAAAUUAUGUUAGCUUUGUGCGCAUGCGCGUUAUGUUCCGUUGCCUCGGCGCCAAAGCCCAAAGGAAGGUUUACAGAAUCCAGUCAGAUUGAAGCAAGACGCCACAGCCGGAUUUCUGUACAUCCAUUUGCACAGUACUGUACAACAAGUUUCCUUUGCUGAGUUCCUUGGUCAGGGGUUUAAACACAUUUUCUGUCCAGUACUGCAGUUGGAAUUUUCCAUCAACAUUUUUAUGUUUUCACAGUACUAGGGUGCAGUAAGAGCACAAACACAGAGUUCAACUUUGAUUCAACUCCGUGAUUCUCUCAAGAGAGGCGACCAAAAUGUCUGACCUGCCAUAAAAUGAUUCGACUAUCUGCCGACCAAGAGAGGUGGCGCAGUGGGAAGCGCUCUCACCUCACAGCAAGAAGGUCGCUAGUUCGAUUCUCG